UGCCGCUUGCGAGGGCGUAUGGUGGAUGCCUUGGCAGACAGUACCGAUGAAGGACGUUUGAGGAUGCGAUAAUCCUAGGGGAGCCUCCAACAUGGCUUUGAUCCUAGGGUCUCCGAAUGGGGGAACCCGCCGGCCGUCAUGGGCCGGCACCGCUUAUGUGCGGGGGGUACGCAGGGAAGUGAAACAUCUCAGUACCUGCAGGAAGGGAUACUCCGUGAGUAGUGGCGAGCGAAAGCGGAUCAGACCAAACCGGUUGCGCGUGAUACCCGUCGGGGGUUGCGUUGCCGGUGUUGUGGGAUCACGUGUCCCGGUUCCGACGGGCCGGGCGGGAGUCAUAAAACGGCUUGCCAGGGGAACAGGCUUGAAGGCCUGGCCGUAGAGGGUGCCAGCCCCGUACCUGGACGUGAGCCGUCUUCCGAUCGUGUUGUCCCAAGUAGCGCGGGCCUCGUGGAAUCCCGCGUGAAUCAGCCCAGACCGUUGGGUAAGUCUAAGCAUACCUGUCUGACCGAUAGCGUACCAGUACCGUGAGGGAAAGGUGAAAAGCACCCCGGGAGGGGAGUGAAACAGUUCCUGAAACCGUGCGCCCACAAACCGUCGGAGCCUCCUUGUGGGGUGACGGCGUGCCUAUCGAAAAAUGAGUCUGCGAGUCAGUGGCGGGUGGCGAGCAUAAGCCGUGUGGCGUAUGCGUAGCGAAAGCGAGUCUUAAAAGGCGUUUUUAGUCGCUUGUCCUGGACCCGAAGCGGGAUGAUCUAGCCCUGGGCAGGUUGAAGCGCGGGUAAGACCGCGUGGAGGACCGAACCCACCUGGGUUGAAAACCGGGGGGAUGACCUGGGGCUAGGGGUGAAAGGCCAAUCAAAUUCCGUGAUAGCUGGUUCUCUCCGAAAUGCAUUUAGGUGCAGCGUCGGUCGAUUGCGUCGCGGGGGUAGAGCUACCGGAUGCUUGCGGGCCCUUGUUGGGUACCAACAGCAGCCGAACUCCGAAUACCGUUGACGUGUAUUCCGGCAGUGAGUCGGCGGGGGAUAAGCUCCGUCGUCGAGAGGGAGACAGCCCAGACCGUCGUCUAAGGUCCCGAAGCGUGUGCUAAGUGGGAAAGGAUGUGGAGUCGCAUAGACAGCCAGGAGGUUGGCUCAGAAGCAGCCAUCCUUGAAAGAGUGCGUAACAGCUCACUGGUCUAGUGGUUCCGCGCCGACAAUGUAGCGGGGCUCAAGCACACCACCGAAGACGCGGCAGCAAUCUUCAUGGUUGCUGGGUAGGAGAGCGUCCUGCGAGGGGCGAAGCGGCGGUGGAAACCGGCCGUGGACUUCGUGGGAGUGAGAAUGCAGACAUGAGUAGCGAGAGACGGGUGAGGAUCCCGUCCGCUGGAUGACCAAGGGUUCCGGGGCCACGUUCGUCGUCCCCGGGUGAGUCGGGUCCUAAGGCGAGGCCGACAGGCGUAGUCGAAUGGAUGAACGGGUGGAUAUUCCCGUACCGACCAUGGACCGGCAAAACCGAGACGGUGAGUACUAACCUCCGCCUCGUGGUGGUUCCUUCCUUCGGGUUGGUAUCGCCGCGUGGUGUUGGGACUGUAGCCGCAGUAGGUCAGCGCAGGGGUGACACGGAAUGGGAGCCGGCCGCGGAGGUGGUUUUCCGUGGUCAAGCACGCAGCCAGUCAUGUAGGCAAAUCCGCAUGGCGCGCAUGGCGAGGUGUGAUGAUGGGAGCCGUUAUGGCUCGAUAUCCGGUUGUCCAGGCCGUCGAGAAAAGCCUCGGCGUGAGGGCCAUGGCCGCCCGUACCCCAAACCGACACUGGUGGUCAGGUAGAGAAUACCAAGGCGAUCGAGCGAAUCCUGGUCAAGGAACUCGGCAAAUCACUCCCGUGCCUUCGGUAUAAGGGAGACCCACUGGGGUGAACGGCCUCGCGCCGGGAGCUUUGGUGGGUGGCACAGACCAGGGGGUAGCGACUGUUUACCAAAAACACAGGUGCAUGCGAAGGCGAAAGCCGCUGUAUAUGCACUGACGCCUGCCCGGUGCCGGAAGGUUAAGAGGAUCCGUCAAUCCCUUCGGGGACGAAGCGGUGAAUUCAAGCCCCGGUAAACGGCGGUGGUAACUAUAACCAUCCUAAGGUAGCGAAAUUCCUUGUCGGGUAAGUUCCGACCUGCACGAAUGG
rnacentral:rRNA from 1 species